rnacentral:rRNA from 1 species
UACGUAGGGUGCGAGCGUUGUCCGGAAUUAUUGGGCGUAAAGGGCUCGUAGGCGGUUUGUCGCGUCGGGAGUGAAAACACCGGGCUUAACUCGGUGCUUGCUUUCGAUACGGGCAGACUAGAGGCAUGCAGGGGAGAACGGAGUUCCUGGUGUAGCGGUGAAAUGCGCAGAUAUCAGGAGGAACACCGGUGGCGAAGGCGGUUCUCUGGGCAUGUCCUGACGCUGAGGAGCGAAAGUGUGGGGAGCGAACAGG